AUUAGCUAGUUGGUGGGGUAAUUGCCUACCAAGGCGACGAUCCGUAGCUGGUCUGAGAGGAUGAUCAGCCACACUGGAACUGAAACACGGUCCAGACUCCUACGGGAGGCAGCAGUGAGGAAUCUUGCGCAAUGGGGGAAACCCUGACGCAGCGACGCCGUGUGAGUGAAGAAGGCCUUCGGGUCGUAAAGCUCUGUCAAGUGGGAAUAAAAUCCUGCGGUUAAUAACCGCUGGAUAUGAAGGUACCACUAGAGGAAGCACCGGCUAACUCCGUGCCAGCAGCCGCGGUAAUACGGAGGGUGCAAGCGUUAUUCGGAUUUAUUGGGCGUAAAGAGCGUGUAGGCGGUUGGGUUAGUCAGAUGUGAAAUCCUUCUGCUCAACAGAAGAAGUACGUCUGAAACUGCUCAACUUGAGUACGAGAGAGGAAAGUGGAAUUCCCAAUAUAGAGGUGAAAUUCGUAGAUAUUGGGAGGAACACCUGUGGCGAAGGCGACUUUCUGGAUCGAUACUGACGCUGAGACGCGAAAGC
rnacentral:rRNA from 1 species